UUAAUUAAAACCAAAAUAGAGGUAAAUUAUUGUUAAUAAUUUUAGUGAAUUAUAUAUUCUAAUUAAU
rnacentral:tRNA from 1 species